rnacentral:lncRNA from 1 species
CUCAAUUUGCUGUCAUGGACAAUGUCUUUAAUUUAGGAAAACGGAAGAAAAAAAUUUUAAUGUUGUUAAGCACUCCAAAUGUUUUUGGAUUCACAUUCCUUUUCUAUUUGCUUUUUCAGAAUGUUUCUGCCUGUGUGCUCUGUUUACUAAUGUGGACAGUGUAAUAAAGGCUUCCAGGAGAGAGAUGAUUUCUUUCAUCUGAACAGUUGAAGAUAAUGAAGUCAUUUUUGCAAUAAUAAAUCCCUUCUUUGCAAGUAUUUGUCCACCAGCAAUGAUGUCCAGCAGAAAAAGAAAUGUUGGUGUAGAGAAAUGCAGAGGGAGAAUGAAGAUAACUGCAUUCGGAGAAACAGAAGAGUGGUCUCUGUUUCGAAUGGAGGAAAUAGGAUUAUUUUCAAAUAUUUUAUGUCCGUCAAAACUUGACAACUAGAAGAAUGCGAUUUAUUAUAAGUGAACAUUCAACAAUUGUGUUACUCCCAAUGAUUCAAGCAUACACUAGACUGGGUGUUCUGAGGUCUGUUUUAGAAUUGCAAUACAUUUU